rnacentral:other from 1 species
ACCGCUCGACCUUGUGCGUGUACUCGCGGCAUUUGUUGAGCCAACAGUAACACCUCGGGAGCCCGCCGUCGGUCGGGUCCUUGGACUCAUCGAGAGGGCGCCCACCUGCGAAAGCAGGUUCAACAAUAAAGCGAGCACGGCAAGGUGGAGCAUCU